rnacentral:rRNA from 1 species
UAGGGAAUCUUCCACAAUGGGCGAAAGCCUGAUGGAGCAACGCCGCGUGUGUGAUGAAGGGUUUCGGCUCGUAAAACACUGUUGUAAGAGAAGAAUGACAUUGAGAGUAACUGUUCAAUGUGUGACGGUAUCUUACCAGAAAGGAACGGCUAAAUACGUGCCAGCAGCCGCGGUAAUACGUAUGUUCCAAGCGUUAUCCGGAUUUAUUGGGCGUAAAGCUAGCGCAGACGGUUAUUUAAGUCUGAAGUGAAAGCCCUCAGCUCAACUGAGGAAUUGCUUUGGAAACUGGAUGACUUGAGUGCAGUAGAGGAAAGUGGAACUCCAUGUGUAGCGGUGAAAUGCGUAGAUAUAUGGAAGAACACCAGUGGCGAAGGCGGCUUUCUGGACUGUAACUGACGUUGAGGCUCGAAAGUGUGGGUAGCAAACAGG